AGAUUGAACGCUGGCGGCAGGCCUAACACAUGCAAGUCGAGCGGUAGAGAGGUGCUUGCAUCUCUUGAGAGCGGCGGACGGGUGAGUAAUGCCUAGGAAUCUGCCUAGUGGUGGGGGAUAACGUUCGGAAACGGACGCUAAUACCGCAUACGUCCUACGGGAGAAAGCGGGGGACCUUCGGGCCUCGCGCCAUUAGAUGAGCCUAGGUCGGAUUAGCUAGUUGGUGAGGUAAUGGCUCACCAAGGCGACGAUCCGUAACUGGUCUGAGAGGAUGACCAGCCACAUUGGGACUGAGACACGGCCCAAACUCCUACGGGAGGCAGCAGUGGGAAUCUUGCGCAAUGGGACGAAAGCCUGGA
rnacentral:rRNA from 1 species